rnacentral:rRNA from 1 species
GAUGAACGCUGGCGGCGUGCCUAAUACAUGCAAGUCGAGCGAACAGACGAGGAGCUUGCUCCUCUGACGUUAGCGGCGGACGGGUGAGUAACACGUGGAUAACCUACCUAUAAGACUGGGAUAACUUCGGGAAACCGGAGCUAAUACCGGAUAAUAUAUUGAACCGCAUGGUUCAAUAGUGAAAGACGGUUUUGCUGUCACUUAUAGAUGGAUCCGCGCCGCAUUAGCUAGUUGGUAAGGUAACGGCUUACCAAGGCAACGAUGCGUAGCCGACCUGAGAGGGGGGUAGGCCACACGGGAACUGGGCCACGGUCCAUACUCCUACGGGAGGCAGCAGUAGGGAAUCUUCCGCAAUGGGCGAAAGCAUGACGGAGCAACGCAGCGUGAGUGAUGAAGGUCUUCGGAUCGUAAAACUCUGUUAUUAGGGAAGAACAAAUGUGUAAGUAACUAUGCACGUCUUGACGGUACCUAAUCAGAAAGCCACGGCUAACUACGUG